rnacentral:rRNA from 1 species
CGCGUAGGCGGCCUGAUAAGUCAGAUGUGAAAGUCCACGGCUCAACCGUGGAAGUGCAUUUGAAACUGUCAGGCUUGAGUAUCGGAGGGGAGUGUGGAAUUCCCGGUGUAGAGGUGAAAUUCGUAGAGAUCGGGAGGAACACCGGUGGCGAAGGCGACACUCUGGACGAAUACUGACGCUGAGGCGCGAAAGCGUGGGGAGCAAACAGGAUUAGAUACCCUGGUAGUCC